CGUGGGUAACCUGCCCAAGAGAUCGGGAUAACACCUGGAAACAGAUGCUAAUACCGGAUAACAACAGAUGAUGCCUAUCAACUGUUUAAAAGAUGGUUCUGCUAUCACUCUUGGAUGGACCUGCGGUGCACUAGCUAGUUGGUAGGGUAACGGCCUACCAAGGCGAUGAUGCGUAGCCGAGUUGAGAGACUGAUCGGCCACAUUGGGACUGAGACACGGCCCAAACUCCUACGGGAGGCAGCAGCC
rnacentral:rRNA from 1 species